rnacentral:rRNA from 1 species
AUGUUCAUUGCAGGUUGGUUAUUUGUUAGUACGGGUUUAGCUUAUGACGUGUUUCGAAGUCUUUGGCCAAACGAGUAUUUCACAGAAUGCCGACAAAGAAUUCCAUUAAUAAACGACCGUUUUGUUUUUUUAUAACAAAUCGACGAAUUCGUAGAUCCUUUUAGGAGGCCUAAAUAA